rnacentral:rRNA from 1 species
AUGGGGAACGCGGGGAGCAACGGCGGGGAGAAGGCGAUCGCGAGGGAGAUGGUGCUCAAGGUGGCCAUGCACUGCCGCUGCGAGGGGUGCACGCCCAAGGUGCGCUCCGCCGUGAGGAGCCUCACGCUGGCACGCGGCGUCGUGAAGGUGCUGGACCAGUCGGCGACGGAGGCCACCGAGGAGGUGAGGCUGCUGGCCACGGCGGACCCCGAGCGCCUCCGCAGGAGCCUCCACGAGGCCACCGGCAAGAAGAAGGUCGAUCUCGUCCUCAUCCCGCCCAACCCUGUCAAGCCUGGGCUCGUCGACGCCGCCCCCGACCCGCAGCGCCAGCCGCGGCCACCGGUCCUUCGUGAGCACGGCGGCAAUGGCAAGAGGAACCACCACCAGCAGCUGGAUCUCGGGGCGUACCCGUGCCCGCCCGCGUCCUACCACCCGGGCCAGCUGCCGGCCCCUCCUUCCGGAAUGUACGACGCGUACCCCGCCCCGGCGCCGUUCCCACCUGGGUAUUACUACUGCCCUCCCAGCGCGCCGCCGUGCCCCGCCGGCCACGGCUACUACUGA